rnacentral:rRNA from 1 species
GAUGAACGCUGGCGGCGUGCCUAAUACAUGCAAGUCGAGCGAACAGACGAGGAGCUUGCUCCCCUGACGUUAGCGGCGGACGGGUGAGUAACACGUGGAGAACCUACCUAUAAGACUGGGAUAAAUUCGUGAAAACGGAGCUAAUACCGGCUAAUAUGUUGAAUCGCAUGGUUCAAGAGUGAAAGACGGUCUUGCUGUCACUUAUACAUGGAUCCGCGCCGGAUUAGCUAGUUGGUAAGGUAACGGCUUACCAAGGCAACGAUGCGUAGCCGACCUGAGAGGGUGACCGGCCACACUGGAACUGAGACACGGUCCAGACUCCUACGGGAGGCAGCAGUAGGGAAUCUUCCGCAAUGGGCGCAAGCCUGAUGGAGCAACGCCGCGUGAAUGAAGAAGGUCUUCGGAUCGUAAAACACUGUUAUUAGGGAAGAACAAAUGUGUAAGUAACUAUGCACGUCUUGACGGUACCUAAUCAGAAAGCCCCGGCUAACUACGUG